ACUCAAAGGAAUAGACGGGGGCCCGCACAAGCGGCGGAGCAUGUGGAUUAAUUCGAUGCAACGCGAAGAACCUUACCUGGGUUUGACAUACACUAGUAACCUGCAGAGAUGCAGGCCCCCUUGUGGCUGGUGUACAGGUGGUGCAUGGCUGUCGUCAGCUCGUGUCGUGAGAUGUUGGGUUAAGUCCCGCAACGAGCGCAACCCUUGUCCUGUGUUGCCAGCGGAUUAUGCCGGGGACUCGCAGGAGACUGCCGGGGUCAACUCGGAGGAAGGUGGGGACGACGUCAAGUCAUCAUGCCCCUUAUGUCCAGGGCUUCACACAUGCUACAAUGGCUGGUACAGAGGGCUGCGAGACCGUGAGGUGGAGCGAAUCCCUUAAAGCCAGUCUCAGUUCGGAUCGGGGUCUGCAACUCGACCCCGUGAAGUUGGAGUCGCUAGUAAUCGCAGAUCAGCAACGCUGCGGUGAAUACGUUCCCGGGCCUUGCACACACCGCCCGU
rnacentral:rRNA from 1 species